UACGUAGGGUGCGAGCGUUAAUCGGAAUUACUGGGCGUAAAGCGUGCGCAGGCGGUCUGUUAAGACAGAUGUGAAAUCCCCGGGCUUAACCUGGGAACUGCAUUUGUGACUGGCAGGCUAGAGUAUGGCAGAGGGGGGUAGAAUUCCACGUGUAGCGGUGAAAUGCGUAGAGAUGUGGAGGAAUACCGAUGGCGAAGGCAGCCCGCUGGGCCGAUACUGACGCUCAUGCACGAAAGCGUGGGGAGCAAACAGG
rnacentral:rRNA from 1 species